rnacentral:rRNA from 1 species
UACAGAGGUUUCAAGCGUUGUUCGGAUUCAUUGGGCGUAAAGGGUGCGUAGGCGGCGCGGUAAGUCGGGUGUGAAAUCUUGGAGCUUAACUCCGAAACUGCAUUCGAUACUGCCGUGCUUGAGGACUGGAGAGGAGACUGGAAUUUACGGUGUAGCGGUGAAAUGCGUAGAUAUCAGGAGGAACACCUGCGGUGUAGACGGCUUACUGGACCAUAACUGACGCUGAGGCACGAAAGCGUGGGUAGCAAACAGG